UCCGGUUUGAACUCAGAUCAUGUGCGAUAAACAGGUCGAACAGACCUUGUGUUUCUAAUUUCUGCUUUAAAAAGUAUUCGCAAUUCAACAUCGAGGUCGCAAACAAUCAUUUUAAUAAGGGCUUUAAUGAUUAUAACGCUGUUAUCCCUAGAGUACCUUUUUCAUUUAGUUUAGUUAAGAUCAAUUUAAAUCAAAAUAUUUUUAUUUUUAUUUACCCCAAAUAAAUUUCUUAUGUAAUCAAGAAAUAAAGGUUCAUAGGGGCUUCUCGUGC
rnacentral:rRNA from 1 species